GACGAACGCUGGCGGCGUGCUUAACACAUGCAAGUCGAACGGAGCUAUUUAUUUCGGUAGAUAGCUUAGUGGCAAACGGGUGAGUAACGCGUAGGCAACCUGCCCUCAGGAUGGGGACAACGGCUCGAAAGAGCCGCUAAUACCGAAUGACGUAACUCUUCCACAUGGAAGAGAUACUAAAGAUGGGUCAAACCAUCGCCUAAGGAUGGGCCUGCGUCUGAUUAGCCAGUUGGUGAGGUAACGGCUCACCAAAGCGACGAUCAGUAGCCGGUCUGAGAGGAUGAACGGCCACAAUGGGACUGAGACACGGCCCAUACUCCUACGGGAGGCAGCAGUGGGGAAUCUUCCGCAAUGGGCGAAAGCCUGACGGAGCAACGCCGCGUGAGUGAAGAAGGUCUUCGGAUCGUAAAGCUCUGUUGUCGGGGACGAAAGAGUAGACGAGGAAAUGCGUCUACUA
rnacentral:rRNA from 1 species